CCUAGCCGUGUAUACAAUGAUCUCUCAAUGAAAAUCAUGCCUCCGUACUGCUAUCAGCCUAUCACCAUUCUUAUCAUCCCUCCAUCAAUAUUAGAAAAGUGUUAGGCUUCAAAAUCACCAUUACCCUUCUCCUUCGGAUGUUGGAUCCUAUACCAUCAUAAAUGUCGAUUGAUUGUUGCUCUGCUAUCUCUGCUCACUACAAUUAGGCGAACCCUUCUUCCUCCUCGUCGUGGAUGAGGGAUACUGAUAAAGGAUGUUACUAUACACUUUCGGGGAUUGACGUGCUCAAGGUUGGUAAAGGUACUUGGCUAUGAGUGAGGAGACGCUUAGAAUAACCACCUAGUCAAGAGACAAUUUCUAUUCCAGUCUAAGUUGGAUUUUGUUAUUUAUUUUAUUGGGAUUAAUUGGUUGUAAUAUUUUAUUGGCCACCUUUAGACCACUUAGUUAAUUUUGACUUUAA